rnacentral:rRNA from 1 species
AUACGGAGGGUGCAAGCGUUACUCGGAAUCACUGGGCGUAAAGCGCGCGCAGGCGGCUAUUUAAGUUGGAUGUGAAAGCCUACGGCUCAACCGUAGAACUGCAUCCAAAACUAUUUAGCUAGAGUGUGGGAGAGGAAGAUGGAAUUAGUUGUGUAGGGGUAAAAUCCGUAGAGAUAGCUAGGAAUACCAAAAGCGAAGGCAAUCUUCUGGAACACUACUGACGCUGAGGCGCGAAAGCGUGGGGAGCAAACGGGAUUAGAAACCCGAGUAGUCC